CCGGUUGAUCCUGCCGGACCUGACUGCUAUCGGAUUGAUACUAAGCCAUGCGAGUCAUUGUAGCAACACAAGGCAGACGGCUCAGUAACGCGUAGUCAACCUAACCUAUGGACGGGAAUAACCUCGGGAAACUGAGAAUAAUGCCCGAUAGAACACUAUACCUGGAAUGGUUUGUGUUCCAAAUGAUUUAUCGCCGUAGGAUGGGACUGCGGCCUAUCAGUUUGUUGGUGAGGUAAUGGCCCACCAAGACUAUUACAGGUACGGGCUCUGAGAGGAGUAGCCCGGAGAUGGGUACUGAGACACGGACCCAGGCCCUAUGGGGCGCAGCAGGCGAGAAAACUUUGCAAUGUGCGAAAGCAAGACAAGGUUAAUCCGAGUGGUUUCUGCUAAAGAAACCUUUUGUCGGUCCUAGAAACACCGAUGAAUAAGGGGUGGGCAAGUUCUGGUGUCAGCCGCCGCGGUAAAACCAGCACCUCAAGUGGUCAGGAUGAUUAUUGGGCCUAAAGCAUCCGUAGCCGGCUCUGUAAGUUUUCGGUUAAAUCUGUACGCUCAACGUACAGGCUGCCGGGAAUACUGCAGAGCUAGGGAGUGGGAGAGGUAGACGGUACUCGGUAGGAAGGGGUAAAAUCCUUUGAUCUAUUGAUGACCACCUGUGGCGAAGGCGGUCUACCAGAACACGUCCGACGGUGAGGGAUGAAAGCUGGGGGAGCAAACCGGAUUAGAUACCCGGGUAGUCCCAGCUGUAAACUAUGCAAACUCAGUGAUGCAUUGGCUUGUGGCCAAUGCAGUGCUGCAGGGAAGCCGUUAAGUUUGCCGCCUGGGAAGUACGUACGCAAGUAUGAAACUUAAAGAAAUUGGCGGGGGAGCACCACAAGGGGUGGAGCCUGCGGUUUAAUUGGAUUCAACGCCGGACAUCUCACCGGGGGCGACGGCAGAGUGAAGGCCAAGUUGACGACUUUGCCGGACUCGCCGAGAGGUGGUGCAUGGCCGCCGUCAGCUCGUAUCGUGAGACGUCCUGUCAAGUCAGGUAACGAGCGAGACCCUUAUCCUUAGUUGCCAGCGGAUCCCUCUGGGAUGCCGGGCACUCUAAGGAGACCGCUGUCGAUAAGGCAGAGGAAGGAGAGGGCGACGGUAGGUCCGUAUGCCCCGAAUCCCCCGGGCAACACGCGGGCUACAAUGCGCGGGACAGAGGGCUGCGACCCCGAGAGGGGAAGCCGAUCCCUAAACCUGCGCCUAGUUCGGAUCGAGGGCUGCAACUCGCCCUCGUGAAGCUGGAAUCCCUAGUAAUCGCGUGUCACUAUCGCGCGGUGAAUACGUCCCUGCUCCUUGCACACACCGCCCGUC
rnacentral:rRNA from 1 species